rnacentral:rRNA from 1 species
AGCUUGCUCUUGGGUGACGAGUGGCGGACGGGUGAGUAAUGUCUGGGAAACUGCCCGAUGGAGGGGGAUAACUACUGGAAACGGUAGCUAAUACCGCAUAACGUCGCAAGACCAAAGUGGGGGACCUUCGGGCCUCACACCAUCGGAUGUGCCCAGAUGGGAUUAGCUGGUUGGUGAGGUAAUGGCUCACCAAGGCGACGAUCCCUAGCUGGUCUGAGAGGAUGACCAGCCACACUGGAACUGAGACACGGUCCAGACUCCUACGGGAGGCAGCAGUGGGGAAUAUUGCACAAUGGGCGCAAGCCUGAUGCAGCCAUGCCGCGUGUAUGAAGAAGGCCUUCGGGUUGUAAAGUACUUUCAGCGAGGAGGAAGGCAUUAAGGUUAAUAACCUUAGUGAUUGACGUUACUCGCAGAAGAAGCACCGGCUAACUCCGUGCCAGCAGCCGCGGUAAUACGGAGGGUGCAAGCGUUAAUCGGAAUUACUGGGCGUAAAGCGCACGCAGGCGGUCUGUCAAGUCGGAUGUGAAAUCCCCGGGCUCA